UACGUAGGGUGCGAGCGUUGUCCGGAAUUAUUGGGCGUAAAGAGCUCGUAGGCGGUCUGUCGCGUCGAUCGUGAAAACUUGGGGCUUAACCCUGAGCUUGCGGUCGAUACGGGCAUGACUGGAGUUCGGCAGGGGAGACUGGAAUUCCUGGUGUAGCGGUGAAAUGCGCCGAUAUCAGGAGGAACACCGGUGGCGAAGGCGGGUCUCUGGGCCGAUACUGACGCUGAGGAGCGCAAGCGUGGGGAGCGAACAGG
rnacentral:rRNA from 1 species